AGUGAACGCUGGCGGUAUGCCUAACACAUGCAAGUCGAACGGCAGCACAGUAAGAGCUUGCUCUUACGGGUGGCGAGUGGCGGACGGGUGAGGAAUACAUCGGAAUCUACUUUUUCGUGGGGGAUAACGUAGGGAAACUUACGCUAAUACCGCAUACGACCUACGGGUGAAAGCAGGGGAUCUUCUGACCUUGCGCGAUUGAAUGAGCCGAUGUCGGAUUAGCUAGUUGGCUGGGUAAAGGCACACCAAGGCGACGAUCCGUAGCUGGUCUGAGAGGAUGAUCAGCCACACUGGAACUGAGACACGGUCCAGACUCCUACGGGAGGACGCAGUGGGGAAUAUUGGACAAUGGGCGAGAGCCUGAUCCAGCCAUACCGCGUGGGUGAAGAAGGCGUUCGGGUUGUAAAGCCAUUUUGUUGGGAAAGAAAAGCAGCAGGUUAAUACCCCGCUGUUCUGACGGUACCCAAAGAAUAAGCACCGGCUAACUUCGUG
rnacentral:rRNA from 1 species